CGCUGGCGGCGUGCUUAACACAUGCAAGUCGAACGGGAUCCUGCAAGCUUGCUUGCGGGUGAGAGUGGCGAACGGGUGAGUAAUGCGUGACCAACCUGCCCCAUGCUCCGGAAUAGCUCCUGGAAACGGGUGGUAAUGCCGGAUGUGCCGGGCUCCUGCAUGGGGGUCCGGGAAAGCUCUGGCGGCGUGGGAUGGGGUCGCGUCCUAUCAGCUUGUUGGCGGGGUGAGGGCCCACCAAGGCUUCGACGGGUAGCCGGCCUGAGAGGGCGACCGGCCACAUUGGGACUGAGAUACGGCCCAGACUCCUACGGGAGGCAGCAGUGGGGAAUAUUGCACAAUGGGCGCAAGCCUGAUGCAGCGACGCCGCGUGCGGGAUGGAGGCCUUCGGGUUGUAAACCGCUUUUGUUUGGGAGCAAGCCCUUCGGGGUGAGUGUACCUUUCGAAUAAGCACCGGCUAACUACGUGCCAGCAGCCGCGG
rnacentral:rRNA from 1 species